GGCAGUAUGGUGUAUGCAUGCACGCGGGGUUUCAAUAGGUAAUGGUCACACCGAGAUUAACCCCGAAGAUCUUGUUCGAAUCAAGGUACUGCUC